UACGCCAGAGCCACAGCAACGCGGGAUCCGAGCCGCGUCUGCAACCUACACCACAGCUCAUUAACCGGAUCGUUAACCCACUGAGCAAGGGCAGGGACCGAACCCGCAACCUCAUGGUUCCUAGUCGGAUUCGUUAACCACUGCGCCACGACGGGAACUCCCUUUUAUAGUUUUGAUGUCACAAAUUAUCUCUUUUUAUACUGUGAUUUCAUUAGCAGGUUGUAGUAGCUAUAGUUGUUUUAAUGCUCUUUUUUAUACCUUUAUACUGUAGUGAAGUUUAAUAUAAGAUUCUAAAAGGAGUUAUAGUAUUAUAAUUCUGACUAUUUACCACAUAGAGUUUUGUGUAUUUCAUCUCUUUGUUUUAGCUUGAAAAACUCCUUUUAACAUGUCUUAUCAGGCAGGUCUGGUAUUGGUGGACUCACUCAGCUUUUGUUUGCCUGGGGAAAGCCUUUAUGUCCCUUUCAUAUCUGAAGGGUAACUUUGCUGGGUAGUGUAUUCUUAGUGGGUACGUUUCAACCUUUCAAUAUUUUGAGUAUGUCAUUCCAUUUUCUCCUGGCCUGUGGAGUUUUUAUUGAGAAAUCUCUGAUAGCCUAAUGGGAAUAUCUUUGUAGGUUACUGCCUUUUUUUCCCUGGUUGCCUUUAAAAUUCUUUCUUUAUUACUGAUCUUUGAUGGUUUAAAUACGAUAUGUCUUGGAGAAGGUCUCUUUGCAUUGAGAUAAUAAAGUGUUCUAUUAUAUUCAUGGACUUGUGUAUCCAGUUCCUUCCUCAGGUUUCAGAAAUUCUCAGCUAUUAGGUCUUGAAAUAAAUUCUCAGUUCCCUUUCCUUCUUCUCUUUUUGGGAUACCUAUUAUUCUUAUAUUGCUUUUCCUGGUGGGAUCAGAUCAUUCUGACAGGGUCUCUUCACUUUAAAAAAAUCUUAGUUCUCUUCCACUUGUAUUAUUUCUAUAUUUUUAUCCUUGAGCUCACUAAUUCUCUCUUCCAUAUGAUCUGCUCUAUUUCCAAAGCAUUCUAAUGCAUUCUUCAUCUCAUAUUUUGAGUUCUUCAGCUGAAGAAUUUCUCUUUGGUUCUUUUCUAGAAUUUCAGUCUCUUCGGUAAAGCAUCCCUUAUGCUCAUUCAUUUUAUUCUUAUGAUUCUUUUAUUGCCUUGCUGGGUUUUCUUGUAGUUCAUUGAAAUUAUUCGGAACAGCUAUUUUAAAUUAUCAGUUAGAUCACACUAUUCCAUGUCUUUGGAUUUUAUUGCUGGAAAAUUGUCAUUUUUCUUUUUGUGAUAACUUAUUAUUGUGACUUUUCAAGGUCUUCGGUUAAAAAUAGCUCUGCCACUGUAUCUGAAGUGGUAAACACCUUAUUUCCGCAAGGCUUUGCUUACUUUGAUUCUAGGAAUUCAACAGGUUGGUAGUUAGAGGCCUUUUGCUUUCCAGAAGGUGGCGCUCUAGCCCAAGUUUUUGGUUUUUCUAGAGGCGCUGACUAUGGUUGGGAACCUGAACCUAACAACAACAACAACAACAAACUAAACAAGGUGGCAGCAGAGUGGAGGGAGUGUGUGUGGGGAGGGGCAUACCUGGCACUUAAGCCUUUGGAUGUACCUACCCAAGGCCUGGCAGGGGAAUCCUCAAGUGCAAGGGUCCCAGAGGGCUGUGGGCAGCCCUGUUGCCUCCCUGGGACAGAGAGGGGAAGACGCCUUCUCCCAGCUGUCUUUUCUGCCUACUGCCCUUUCCUUUCCCAUUCCGCAGCCACUCUAGUCUCUCUUUGGGAGGAGCAGGUGGUCCCUCCAGCUGCCGCACAGUGGCCAGGCAGACACUCACUCACCACCUUCAUCUUCCGCUUCCUCUUCCAGAAAGGUCAUCUGGCUUGCUGUCCAACUGCUGAUGCCUUUUCUGCUAUCACAGCCUCCUUUGUGCAGGCUCCACCUCCUCCGUGGUCCAAUCCACCCGUUUCAGAAGAUGAAUGGCUCUCUUGGGUUUCAGGGUGUGCUGCGCAGUGGGGCUUCUUCCUCUCCUCCCCCCACCUCAGUUGUGGAUGUCUGAUUAGUUGAAAGUCAAAGAGGAGAGAAAAAAGAAUCGACUCAAACUGCCACGAUGCUGACACCCCUCUCCUCACAGUAAUUAAUUGGUGGAUUUAGACGUUGUCCCCACCAUCGUUGGUUUACCAGUGAGCAUGUGAUGAAGGUGUAGCAUUUCCUGGGAAAUCUGUCUGCUUGGUGUUGCUUUUGACUCACUCACGCUGUCACACAUCAGCCCGUGUGUGGUGACUGCUUAUUCUGAUUCCAGUGCGACAGACUCACAUAUUCCCACUGGACACAACUAAGAGCCGGAGAAACUAUGGUUUUCUAUUUCCUGUGAUUCCGAACUUCAAAACCUCAAGGGAAAGCUCUUUACUUGUUUUGUUUUGUGUGUGUUAUAUAUAGGCUACCCUAUAGAUCCAGUCAACAACCUCUUAGUGCCCAGUGUCAGGGUCUUCCCAAGUAAAGCAACUCGCUUGAUGAAUCAUUCACCGCAAUAGUGUUCAGUUAAGCCUCCUUGGUUGGUUGAGUUUAAUAAUGGUAUGGUCUUAGACAUCGUGGCGUCUCAGGCAGGAAAUACCCCUCAGAACUAAGUAAGUAAUUAUCUGACUUUAUAUUGUUUGUCCAUAUAAUAACUAAUACCAGAUGAAGAUUUUAGGUAGUUUGAGAUUUAGGAAGCACAGUUCAUGAAUCUCGAUGAAUGUUACAAUAAGAGCAAAUAAUUAGACUGUGUUUUCUCUGUACUACUGUAUUUGCCAGACACAAAAUGUGCUAUGUAUUUCACUUUAUGUAAACCAUUUAAAAACUCUGGGAUAGCAACUAGUACUCUUAUUAACCCCAUUUUACAGAUGUGUAAACUGAGGCAUAGAAGAGGUUAAAUAACUGUCCAGAAUGAUAGUGAGUGGUAGGGGUAAGUCCUUUGACUGCUGACUGCAAAUACUGAGCCUGUGGAAUUGGUUGUUGACAGUAGUGCCACCAUCACAAGAAGGGCAGAUUUGUGGCUAUUAUUACCUUUCUAAGAUACAAUAAAUGAAGGAUAAACAUUUUCAUUAUUAUUAAUUUCCUUGCUGUUUCAAUUGCAUUUUGUCACUACUUAAAUCCCCGUGCAGUCUGUUGAAGGACAUUACAUUAAAUGUCAACUUUUAUGUGUAUGUUGGGAAGGACCUGAUUUGAAAAAAGGAAAAGAGUCUACUUAUAGAUACAAAACUUCCACUCUAUAGAAGUGACUUUCUGACCGGGCAUGAGGGCAUCCUUCCCCUAGUAUUUCAUCAUCUCUGCUGCCACCACCGUCAUCAUUAUCACCUUCCCAUGGUUUUGGUGACGAAGUGGAGAAUUUUUUCCCCAGAGUAAACGUUGUCCUGUUCAUUAAAGACUACUUCCAUCUUUCGAUGUAGUCUGUUCCAUCAGAUUUUCUUUCAAAUGGAAAUUUCUUACUUGAAAUCUUAUUUAAAAAUUUUCAAUUUCAAUAAAAUCAUUAAAACUAAAAAAAUACUAUUAAAGCACCCCGCUUCUCAUUUUAUAUCAAGUCCAAAUAUCCUUCUCUUUCUGUUGUAUUUAUUUGAAGAGUUAUCUUUUUUUCUUAGGUUAUCGUAUUCCCCGAACACAGUAAUUUAUGUUCCAGGGAUUUUGUUCCCCUUGAUUUUGGUGGGAAGCUUUAUUUAUAUUAAUUAUUGAAUUUUUUGAUUGACCAGUAAUCCCUGAUGGAUGUUAUAGCUGGAUUUAAUACAAACAGAGAAAAAAAAUCAAGUUUAUUUUUUCAGGUUAAUAAGGUUUACUUUGACUACUAGAAAAAAUUUAAAGUAGUUCAAUACUCUUUCCAUUAAGGUACUUGUGUUGGUCCCUAUUGAUGGUAAUGCUUUCAUUGGAAAUUCCUAAGGCACUUCCUUGGCUAUAUUAUUCCUGGUGAGCUCUCUCAGGAAUUUUUUUUCCCUUCUCUAAAAGGAAGUGCAAAAUGCAUGCCAUCUGUUUUUUGUCAAAAUGAAUUUGUUUAUGUGUCUCUUUUACACAAACAAGCUAGCAAUGAACUAUACACUCUAAGAAAGGUUGUAGCUACAGCAUUUUGAAGGUUCUUAAACUUUUUAUUCUGACCUAAAAAUUUCCAGCACCUCUUUACCAGGAAAACCUUUAUAGAAAAGUUUGUUCAUUUCAACCUCUUCCAAGUUCUUAAUCGAAUGAGGGUACAAGGCAAAGGUCUGAACUUGAACUCAUGUCCUAGCUUAUUGGAAGAGCUGAUGACCUAGUUAUCUGGAUCAUUUGAUUGCAUUCAGAAGACUGUGUGAAAGAGAAAGACUGGACACAUUGUUGCCUUUGGUGACCCUACACUAAGACCCCUGAAUGUUCAUCAGAUCAUUAGUAUCUCCAACAGUGUUAUGACCAUAUGGACAGGAAAGAUUCAAGUCUCUCAAGCUUUGGGGGCUAUUCUGGUGGGGGAAUCAAUGAGGAGAGAUAAUAGUAGACAUAGCAUCACUUUAAUGAACCUCUGGUUCUUCCUGGGGAAUCACGGACAGAUUCCUAGAGAAAGCAUGGUGAGGCAUGCUACAGAGUUGUAUUAAAAAAGUGUGCAUUACAGGCAUUUUAGGAGCAAGAACACAAUGCUUCUAGGUUUAGGCUUUAUGUAUUUCCUACCUAUUCAUAUCCUUCAGCAGUUGUUCUUUGGAGCAUAGCAGAGGAGAACCUGGCACCUCAGCUAGGUGACAGGAAUAGCAUAUAUGGAUGAAAAGGUUGGUAGCAAACUGAGAAGUAGAGGAUGGCGUUUGGGAAGGCUUAAAAAAUGUAGGUCUGGCUCUAUCUUUUGAGAAAGUUUUCAGGUACUUUCAUGAUGGCUUCUGCCCUCCUUUCCUUCCCAAAUGAAAAAGAUUUCUUGAAUAUGUAUGUGCUAGACGCUGUGUUAGAUAUUAGCAGCACAUAGUCAUUCCCUUUAAGGGUUUUACAUUCUAUUGUGGAAGUCAGAAAUGUAACUCCUCAAUUAUGGACCAGUAGGGAAAGUGUUAUGAUAAGCGUAUUUGAAGUCUGCACAUGAACCCAGAGGCACGUAACCUGAGAUGACUGAAGAAGUCAAGCAGAACUUCUUGGAGGUAAAGGAACUGUCCUGACUCCGAAAGCCAGGAAGACUGGAUGAAGAUUCAACGUGCAAGGGCAAUCCAGGUAGAGACAUCAAAUAAAUGUAUCCACAACUAGCCUUGGAAUAUGUGAGUUAGUAACAUAUCUGUUCUGCCGCCACUGGAAGAAGGCGUCUCUGCAACAACUGCUUCAAAGGUGGAGUCAUCAUUUAUUUAUCAUUAUGGAAUUAUGGUCUCACUAGUGCUUAAGAUCAUGGACAUGAAAUAGAGAAGUUGAAUGUUUAGAUUUGGCCAGAGCUGGGGUUUUGCGAAGGAAAAUACAGUGCAAGGAGGAUGGGUGUAGAGAAACAUGCAUUUGGGGGCCCCGGAGGAGAAAGCAGAAAUCGGCAGACUGUGUUUCUGAAGCCAACACAGAGACAACUAUUUGUUUGUACCCUCAGAGUCUUUGACUGGACCCCUAAGCUCCUCCUGUCUGUUUUCUUUCAUUCAGAUAAUAAAUACUUUUGUCACUGGACAUGAGCUUAAGUAAAUAAGCUGAGUGUUAAAAGAAUAUGAAAAUCCUUCAUUUUUAGCUUCCUUAAAAUUUUUAGGUAUAUGUCAAAUGUAUUUCUUGAAAUUGGAAGAAGCUUCAUGUCUGUCUGGCAAAUACCUGCCUUGGUGGGGAUGGCAGGGAGAGGCAGGGUGAGAUAAAAUCCUGAGAGCCGCAGGGCCCAUUGUUAGGGGUUACUUUAUGGAGUAGUAAUACAAGGAAUCCCAGGGAGGCUGGAGUUGCUUAAAGGAUGAAUUUCUCUGUCAGGUGGCUGCUAAGGUCUUGCCU
rnacentral:lncRNA from 1 species